AGAGUUUGAUCCUGGCUCAGAAUCAACGCUGGCGGCGUGCCUCAGACAUGCAAGUCGAACGCGAAAGUCUCCUUCGGGGGACAAGUAGAGUGGCGCACGGGUGAGUAACACGUAGGUAAUCUACCUUCGGAUGGGGAAUAACAAUCGGAAACGGUUGCUAAUACCGCAUAAUGCAGCGGCACCUAAUGGUGACAGUUGUUAAAGCGGGGGAUCGAAAGACCUCGCGUCUGAAGAGGAGCCUGCGGCGGAUUAGCUAGUUGGUAGGGUAAUGGCCUACCAAGGCGACGAUCCGUAGCCGGCCUGAGAGGGCGGUCGGCCACACUGACACUGACAUACGGGUCAGACUCCUACGGGAGGCAGCAGUCGGGAAUUUUGGGCAAUGGGCGAAAGCCUGACCCAGCAACGCCGCGUGAAGGAUGAAAUCCCUCGGGAUGUAAACUUCGCAAGAACGGGAAGAAUAAGUCUGUGUAAAUACCACUGACGAUGACGGUACCGUUUGUAAGCUCCGGCUAACUCCGUGCCAGCAGCCGCGGUAAUACGGGGGGAGCAAGCGUU
rnacentral:rRNA from 1 species